rnacentral:rRNA from 1 species
CCUACGGGGCGCAGCAGUGAGGAAUAUUGGUCAAUGGGCGGGAGCCUGAACCAGCCAAGUCGCGUGAGGGACGACGGUCCUAUGGAUUGUAAACCUCUUUUGUCGGGGAACAAAGGCGCCCACGGGUGGGCGGAUGAGUGUACCCGAAGAAAAAGCAUCGGCUAACUCCGUGCCAGCAGCCGCGGUAAUACGGAGGGUGCGAGCGUUAAUCGGAAUUACUGGGCGUAAAGCGCUCGUAGGCGGUAUGUCAAGUCAAGGGUGAAAUCCCCGCGCUCAACGUGGGAACUGCCUUUGAAACUGGCAAA